CGGGACGGGGUCAAUGCGGCGGCUCAAGCGGCUGGGGGCGGCGCGGCGGCUCGAUGUAGAUCGGCGGCGGCAGUUGGAGCUUGCAGGGGGCGGAUCCGUGCGCAGCAGGAGCUGGGGAGGUGGAUCCGGAGGCCGGCGGCGAGGUGGGGUCACCAGGGACGACCAGGAUGGCCGGAGCACGGAUUCCCUGGCGGAUCCAUGGAGUCUGCGGCUCCUGGGCAGGAAGGAAGGGAAGUGGGGGAGAGAAGGAGGGAGUAAGGAGGGGCGGCACAGCGACCUAGGCAGGAGCUUGCCGGAGCCGGACGCUGGUGGACGGGCGGGCGGCGCGAAGUCCUGGCGCACCUCGGCCGUCAUCGAGGCCACCACCGCCGCCUGCCGGUGCAACAAGGCAAAGGAGGAUCUCCUGGUUUUGCUCCGUCGCCAACUCCAUGUUCACGGUCGUGGUUCUAAUCCCUCUCUUGCCACUCCACUAUUUUCAGGGGACCUUCCACUGUUUUGAUUUAUUGUAUACGUGCAGUUCAUCUCCCGGUCGCUGGCUGGAUGUGCCUAUAUCUCUCAUCGUUUUGUCAAUCAGAUAACCUAUCAGUAGGAAAUUAUUUUCCUCCACUUUGCAAGACCACAUAACCAAUUUACUUCAGCGGUCUAUACGAUUAAUUUCUAACUUUGCGGGAUCAUUCUGAGUCGGCAUCUGUCACACUGUAACAAGUGUUCGUCUUUAAUUUCCUACACUAUAUUGUGCAUCAAAAUUUGCUCUGUGUGCAUGAGUACUAAUAAUUUGGGUUAUUUCGUUUUGUUGAAAUGAUGAUAAAAUUGAGUUAAGCGAGUUGGAGCUACUGCACCCCUAGCCCAAGUGGAAUGAGCUCAUGGAGCGCCUCAAAGGCCCCAACAACGGUGGCAGUAGGCGUUGCCAUUAGAUCUGGAGGUAGAGGGAGUCUCUACGAGGAGCGGCAACCGAAGACAGGGAGCAUCGACUGUGUCAAGCAAGCUGUAGCAGGCCUGCGCGACUCCUUGCUGAUCACUUGACAGUCCAAGCCUGCAAUAGUGUCGAUUCAGGUAGGUGUGUGGCAUGGCCGAAUCCUGCCCGAUCAGGGCCAACCAAUGGACAUGUUGUAUGCAUCGAUCUCCCAAUCCAACAGGCAAUACAUGUCUGCAAACGGUCCUGAAAAAAGUCAUUCCGUAAGAAAGGUAAUUGCUUAGUUGUGCUCAAUUUUCUCCUAAAAGAAACAGUUAACUUGUAUAGCUUGCAUCAAUGACUUCAUAGUCCAUACAAUAUUUUAUAUGCAUCAAAACUAAGUUUUGUAUGCUGCAGAAACUCAGGAAAAUAUGGUGGUUCUACGUCACUAGGCAAAUCAGAGGAGAUUACCCAAUCUAUAAUGACAGGUGGUGGUAGACACCUGAAUAGUAGUGAUGCAUUCUCUUCCGACAGGCUCCAAAUGAUGGUUAUUCUGCAGGAUUGGUAAGACAAGCUUCUGGAGAUUGAUUUCUCAUGCAGCCGCUUGUGAUGUUGAAAUUAGUGUAUGGCUCAUUUCUUUCCUUGGUUCCUGUAGCAGUUACAUUGAUAGUAGGUUGACAAUUCAUUUAUAGAAUAGUCCACUGAUGUCCGUAAUUAGCUUUCUGUUUGUAUUAAACUGGCUGUACAUUUGUGACAUUGCAACAGGGAGAUGGAUGUAAUGUCCUUGUCUGUGCAAUUUACUUUUGUGGGAAGAAAAAAAUGUUGAGGUAAAGGAGGCUCAUAGCUUGAAGGCGUUUGGUCCAUUGAUGUAGUAACUAACAACUUCGUUUGGCUGCUAAUUGCUUUGCCUGAAAGCUGUCUUUCAAAGUAUUAAUUUACUCCAUCUGUCAUAAUUUAUGUACAGUAGUUUCAUGGUUCGCAGUGUGGUUUUCAAUGGUGGAUGUGACAUCCGAUGAUUGCCGAGGAAGAAAGGUGCGGGGGAGAGAAUCAAUUUGUGGUUUAUGAAUGGAAACCUUGUGUCAACAUGUUUGAUAUGUUUGCUUAUUACUCAAUGGUUGCAUUGGCAAAUGGGGCCUCAACAAUCUCUUGUGCCAUUUGAACUUUAAUUUGAUUAUCGAUGAAGCAAGAUUCUAGAUUUAUCGAAUCCUAUUUUUUUUCAUCAGAUCGAUAUGGUUGUCCGUAUGAACUACGCCAUAAGCUUCUUUGAGCAGCUUUUUACGGUGUUUCCAUCUUUUAAUUUCUCAGCAACUGCAUCAAAGUACCAACCUCAGAGUUGAAAGUAAGGGCUGCAGAUUUUUCACGGAUCAAAUAGGAAUCACUACCACAGUACUGGCCUAACUUACGUACUAAUGCCUACAUCAACCGCCUGGGAAGAAGUUCCGGGUACAUCUAUUGCAUCGGUCGGUAUAUCUUCCUUUAUCUAUAACUUGAUAUAGAUAUUAGGCUGACAAGUAGGCUAUUACAGUACAGGUGGACCAUUUUUAGACAUGCCAUAUUCUUUGUCUGGAUAACAAAAUUAUUUUCACAUGGAAACCUCAUACAAAAUCGAUGUUUAAAUCAUUGUUGGAUGUUCCAUUCUUUGAUUAUUUUGUUACAUUCAAACUAAGAAUAAUGCAAGAAAAAAAACCUUCAUUGUUCUAGAAAGGUGUUGGAGGCUCAGAGCUGCAUAUUCUGAUGAUAUAACUGUCAAUUACAAAAUAAGGCCAAACACUAUUUCUACGAAUUAGCAUCAAGUUGCCAGGAGCAGUGAAGCGCCGAUAAUGGUCAACUAUGGUGCUUGAGGAGAUGGAUAUAUGUAGUUUUAAUGUUGCAGAUAUACGGCUGGAGCAAUAUGUAAGUACUAUUACAGAAUUACUUCAGCUUUUGCUGAGUGUUUCUAUUAGCUAGAUGGUUGUGCUUCAUGUCCUAGGAUCGCAUGCCCUUUAUGUUCAGAGUACGGUCUGAUUAUGAAUAAGAUAAUAAAAAGGUCCGUUACUUCUAACUAGACAUUUUGUUAAUUUCCAGUUGAAGGCUUCCACGCGCCACCUCCUUCUCCCCCUCCUUCGCCGUGUCGAGAAGGGAGCAACGACGAAGUAGAGGUAGACAUGGACACAUGGUAGGAGCCAAGAGGGAACAGGGAAUGGCGGACGCGAGAUCCGUGAAGCCAGAGAAGGUAUGUAAGCUCGUCCACCGCAGGCUAUAGCUCCAAAAUCGGCGGUGUCAGCCGCCACCAGUGCCACCGUGUCCGCCUCCGGCUGGCUUGGUAGCAACAAAAGUAUGGCUGCAGGUGUGGUUCAUUCAGUUUUGCAGUUCGAUUUACUUGCUAGAGGGAGAGAUUAUUUUGUUCUAGAAGUCAUAUUUCUGUCAAAAAUCUGCUCCCCUCCACUCCUUUUUCAUUUAACUAAAAUCUGAAUGUGAAAAGCAGUUGCAAAUUUAGAGCAGCAGAGUAAAUGUUCAAAAGUUCAGAGCAGGUGCAUGUUUUUGAGAAUUAGAGGACGUGUAAGCUAGAAGAUGGGUUGCCAUGCUUUGUAAGUAUGAUUAGUUGGAGUACUAUUCCAUCCGAUGGCAGUGCAAAUUUGAAGUGGGCGCUGAUGAAGGACGUUAGGGUAUGUUCUUCACGUCCACACUUCAGUGUCCAAAAAGUGACAAAUCCUUUUUUCUUUGCGAUAAGGCCCAAGGCCAAAUAUUAAGGGACACAUGUCCUUACAAACUCACCCGUACGGAAACAUUCAAAUCUCUGGGGAGCCGAGCUCUUGUUCUUCCUGCAUCCCAAUGAUCCUCUACCUAGACGGAUCAAACUUCUUUCAGUCUAGGAGCUUACGGAAGCAGUGGCCGAGAAGUCGCUGAUGUAGACUAGGAGAUGUCGUUGGUCGCAAUGUGUGAAGCAAAUCGCUGCCCCGAAUAGGAAAAUGUGAGAAGGGCAUGUAGAAACGGCAAGACCAUGAAAAUUGAUCGAAUCCAAACAGAUCACCCAGAAACAUAAACAUACAAAAUCCUGUCAGAGACACAGCCCCACACACCCUCGACCGUGAAUAAGCACAGUGAUGAAACAGGGAUAGGACACGGAAAACCAUAUUCCUACGGAGGG